UUAUUUUAAAUAACAAAUUUUACCAGGUUAGUAGUAGUUAUGUUCUUGAAAAUUAAAAAAGAUGGCGGUAUUUUAGUCUAUUCAGAGGAACCUGUCCUAUAAUCGAUGGUCCACGAGUUAAUAUACUUAUUUUCUAAGUUUACAUAUCGCCGUAGGUUGAAUAUUCUUUAAGGAAAAAUAACGUUCAAGAGGUUUUUAAAGUGAAUAAAAAUCAGGUCAAGAUGUAGCAAAUAAAUAAGAAGAGAUGGGUUACAAUAAAUAUAUUUAUAACGAAUUAAUAAAUGAAAUUUAUUAAGAAGGAGGAUUUGAAGGUAA
rnacentral:rRNA from 1 species